AUGACUUCUUCUGAGAUGGAACCAUCUGGUUCAACGAGGGACUGUGUUGCUAAGAGCAUUGGGGGCAAAACCAGGCUGGUUCCUUGGCCUCAAGGUUUCCUGGGUCGGGGACACAGUGAAGAGGCUACAGCGGGAUCUGCCCAUCAGUCCUGGGCCAGAAGGGCCUCCAAGUAGCACCCAGUGGGUGCUCAGACCCGGCAUGCGUGGCUGGCAGGCCUGGGAGAGCCAGGGCAGGGUUUUGUUUUCAGAGAAUGAUUGCCCCAGAGACCCGUGAUGGGCUUCGUGGAUGCCGAGUGGCCCGUGUGACAGUGAUGACACGAGGGCUGCGGCAUUUGAGUGGGUGCAGGUGCACGGCAGGGCUUGGUGCUUCCCUGCCUGGCCCUGGAGCAAGCUGGGUGGCCUGGCUUCAAGAGAAGACAGGAGCCAGGACACAUGUCAGCCCAGCAGGUGCGCGGGGUGCUGCAGCCCUCGGCAGUGGUGUCAGGCCCCCGGGGAUGUUUCCAACGGGGGGCGGCCUAGCUGAGCCGGAGGAGACAUGUUCACGGGCAUCUACGAGACACCCCCAUGAGAAAGUUAUUUGAGGCCUGCUGCAAAGUAUGCUAGGCUCAAAUUCUCUUUUCUCAGCCAGAGAGAGCCCUGGCCACACGGACUCAGCAGGGCCACCGGGGUGGGGAAAGGACCCUUCCCCCCCGCCCCCCGCAGCCAGCGGCCUCCAGCUGUCAGCCACAGAAUGGCCUCUGAGGCUGGCUCAGCCACUCCCCUGGGCUGUGGCAGCCUGAGGCGGAGGCUCUGGCUCAGGCCCCGGAGCCUGUGCAGCUUCCUGUGGCCCCAGGCAGCAAGCAGACAUCCUGGAGGACUUCCUGUCUAGGCAAGGCCAUUGGCCUGGCCUGUGGAUAGUGGGGCCAGGGGUUGGCCCAGGCCAAAUGGGUGCCCUCCUUGUUAUGACACCGAGUGACUACAAGGGAGGCAAGACCCCUCCAGGCCUCUCAGCCGACACUGGGUCCCACCACACACGGUGACUGCGCUGUGCAGUGCGGGUUCUGGCCUUUUCCCUAAGGGCAUCUGGUAGACCCAAAGCCACACUCGGGCCGCGCACGCACGCCGCAGCACCAGCUUCCCUGAGCUGCUUAUACAACCACCACCUUUCCCUUCGUCUCCAGCUGUAACCUGGAGAGCCAGCCAUGCCUUGUCUUUUGUUCUCAUAGUCACUGGGGCCGGGCGCAGUG